rnacentral:rRNA from 1 species
ACGCUGGCGGCGUGCCUAAUACAUGCAAGUAGAACGCUGAAGGAGGAGCUUGCUUCUCCGGAUGAGUUGCGAACGGGUGAGUAACGCGUAGGUAACCUGCCUGGUAGCGGGGGAUAACUAUUGGAAACGAUAGCUAAUACCGCAUAAGAGUAGAUGUCGCAUGACAUUUGCUUAAAAGGUGCAAUUGCAUCACUACCAGAUGGACCUGCGUUGUAUUAGCUAGUUGGUGGGGUAACGGCUCACCAAGGCGACGAUACAUAGCCGACCUGAGAGGGUGAUCGGCCACGCUGGGACUGAGACACGGCCCAGACUCCUACGGGAGGCAGCAGUAGGGAAUCUUCGGCAAUGGACGGAAGUCUGACCGAGCAACGCCGCGUGAGUGAAGAAGGUUUUCGGAUCGUAAAGCUCUGUUGUAAGAGAAGAACGAGUGUGAGAGUGGAAAGUUCACACUGUGACGGUAUCUUACCAGAAAGGGACGGCUAACUACGUGCCAGCAGCCGCGGUAAUACGUAGGUCCCGAGCGUUGUCCGGAUUUAUUGGGCGUAAAGCGAGCGCAGGCGGUUAGAUAAGUCUGAAGUUAAAGGCUAUGGCUUAACCAUAGUACGCUUUGGAAACUGUUUAACUUGAGUGCAAGAGGGGAGAGUGGAAUUCCAUGUGUAGCGGUGAAAUGCGUAGACAUAUGGAGGAACACCGGUGGCGAAAGCGGCUCUCUGGCUUGUAACUGACGCUGAGGCUCGAAAGCGUGGGGAGCAAACAGGAUUAGAUACCCCUGGUAGUCCACGCCGUAAACGAUGAGUGCUAGGUGUUAGACCCUUUCCGGGGUUUAGUGCCGCAGCUAACGCAUUAAGCACUCCGCCUGGGGAGUACGACCGCAAGGUUGAAACUCAAAGGAAUUGAC